ensembl:snoRNA
AUGGCCCUGUACCAGGCCAGCAGUUAUCUUAAACCGUUGGCUUCAAGCAGGAGCCUAAAGUGGUAUCUUUCUAUGGUCUGUUGGCCAUUUUACAACUUUAGAAAUUCAUUAGAAGGAAACAACU